GCGAGAGUGGCGGAACUGGAAGACGCACUGGACUUAGGAUCCAGCCCGCAUUUUGCGGAUAGGGGUUCAACUCCCCUCUCUCGCACCA
rnacentral:tRNA from 1 species